rnacentral:sRNA from 1 species
UACCUCAACCGCAAGGAGGGGGAUGCCUAAGGCAGGGCUAGUGACUGGGGUGAAGUCGUAACAAGGUAGCCGUACCGGAAGGUGUGGCUGGAUCACCUCCUUAAAGGGAGACCUAAUUCAGGUAGGAGACGAAAAAAAAGUAGUCCCUACCAGGAAUCAAUCCCAAAAGGUCGGAGCGAGGCGAAAUUGGCUUUCAAACUAGGUUCUGGGUUCAAACAAGACCUGAAUCAGGAACAAGGGCUAUUAGCUCAGGUGGUUAGAGCGCACCCCUGAUAAGGGUGAGGUCCCUGGUUCGAGUCCAGGAUGGCCCACCUGCACAGGUGGCAAAAACAAGAGAAGCGAGGAAUCAGCACCUUAUCUUACUGACAUAGUAAGAGAGAAUGCUGGCUCUGAGUAAAGAGUCCAGAGGAACCUUGAAAACUGCAUAGAGCUAGGUGAAAAAGCCAAAAAAGAAGACCGCAAGG